UCUCACUUCCCUGUAGGUCAAGUCAGUAGAAGCUUGUAAUAGUAAUAACCACUUCUUUCUAAUAUUUAUUUAAUGUGUAGGUAUGAUUGUGGUAUGUUGGUGAUUAAAUAUAUGGAGUUAUGGGACCACUUACCUAAAUUCGAUGGGAAAAAAAAUGCCUGAUUACACAACGGAACAAUUACAAGUUGUGCGACAACAGAUGGGUUGUCAGUGGGUAUUACACGAAGAUAAUGUUCAUCGCACUAGGGUACUAAAGAAAUUUGGGAUGCUUUAGGCAUUGAUUAACUCAUAAAGU